rnacentral:rRNA from 1 species
GAUGAACGCUAGCUACAGGCUUAACACAUGCAAGUCGAGGGGUAGCACGGAGGAAGCUUGCUUCCUUGGGUGACGACCGGCGCACGGGUGAGUAACGCGUAUCCGACCUACCCAUAACUCGGGCACAGCCGCUCGAAAGAGUGAUUGAUUCCCGAUAUGUCCUUGGAGUAGAUUCAAUGAUGAAAGAUUUAUCGGUUAUGGAUGGGGAUGCGUAAGAUUAGGUAGUAGGCGGGGUAACGGCCCACCUAGCCGACGAUCUUUAGGGGUUCUGAGAGGAAGGUCCCCCACACUGGUACUGAGACACGGACCAGACUCCUACGGGAGGCAGCAGUGAGGAAUAUUGGUCAAUGGGCGGAAGCCUGAACCAGCCAAGUAGCGGGAAGGAUCACAGCCCUACGGGUUUUAAACUUCUUUUAUAUAAGAGUAAUGUGCACUACGUGUAGUGUAUUGCAAGUAUUAUAUGAAUAAGCAUCGGCUAACUCCGUGCCAGCCGCCGCGGUAAUAC